UACGUAGGCAGCAAGCGUUGUUCGGAGUUACUGGGCGUAAAGAGUGCGUAGGCGGUUUCGCAAGUUUGGUGUGAAAUCUCCCGGCUUAACUGGGAGGGUGCGCCGAAAACUGCGGGGCUGGAGUGUGGGAGAGGUAGGCGGAAUUCCUGGUGUAGCGGUGAAAUGCGCAGAUAUCAGGAAGAACACCCGUGGCUAAGGCGGCUCUCUAGUACGGUACUGACGCUGAGACGCGAAAGCGUGGGGAGCGAACAGG
rnacentral:rRNA from 1 species